CUUCACUGUCAUGGCCAUUGAAACUGGCCGAUUUGUGAAAUCUUGCCUUUCUCUCUGUGUAAUCCCGAUUUCUUGGAAGGUCAGAUAAAGAGCUUACCCUGAGCUUGGGGGCAGGGAACUUUUGUGUGACUCCAUUUUUAUUUUUAGCCUGGUGUGUUAGCUCCAAACAGUGGUGCCAUGUAAUUUUUAGUUAACAACAUUUCUGCUGGAUUGGCAAUCGAAUACUCUCCAAAAUUGACUACAUACUUGGUCACAAAGCAAGUCUCAACAGAUAUAAGAAAAUUGAACUUAUUCACUGCAUCCUAUCAGACCACCACAGAUUAAAGUUGGAUUUCAACAAUAAUUGAAAGUCUACCAACUCAUGGAAACUGAAUGCCUCUCUACUGAAUGACUACUAAUGACUACUGGAUCAAGGCAAAAAUAAAGAAUUGAAGACUUCCUAGAAUUCAAUGAAAAUUAAUGCACAACAUACCAAACUUAUGGGACACAAUGAAAGCUGAGCUAAGAAGAAAGUUCACGGCACUAAGUGCUUUCAUUUGAAAAGAAAAUGGAGAGAUCUCGUGUGAGCGACUUAACAGCACACCUGAAAGCUCUAGAACAAAAAGAAGCAAACAUAUCCAAGAGGACGAGAAGGAAGAAAAUCUCAGGACUGAAAAUCAACAAAACAGAAACAAAGAGAACAAUAGAAAGAAUAAGUUUUUAAAAACUAGAGUUGGUUUUUGAGGAAAUAAAAGAUUGACAAAUCCUUAGACAAACUAAAAGAUAGAGAAAAACAUCCAAAUUAACAAAAAUCAGAAAUGAAAAGGGGGACACAGACACCAAGGAAAUCCAAGGAAAUAUUAGGUCAUACUUGAAAAACCUAUGCUCAACAAAAUUGGAAAAUCUAUAAGAAUGGACAAUUUUCUCCAUAGAUACUACUUUCCAAAACUAAAUCAAGAUCAGAUAAACAACUUAAGUAGACCUGUAACCUCCAAGGGAAUAACAGCAGUCAUUAAAAGUCUCCUAACUUAGAAACACCAAGGGCCAUAUGGUUUUAAUGCAGAAUUCUACCAGACUUUCAAAGAAGAGCUAAUGCCAAUAUUCCUCAAAUUAUUCCACAAAGUAGAAACAAAAGUAAUAUUACCAAAUUCAUUUUAUGAGGUCACAGUCACUGUGAUACCCAAACCACACAAAGAUUCAACAAAAUAUUAAAGACCAAUUUCUCUCAUGGACAUAGAUGCAAAAAUGCACAAUAGAAUACUUGCAAAUUGAAUCCAAGAACACAUCAAAAACACCAUCCACCAUGAUCAAGUAGGCUUCAUCUCUGAGAUGCAGGGAUGGUUCAACAUAUGAAAAUCCAUCAAUAUAACUCACCAUAUAAACAAAUUGAAAGAAAAAAACCCCACGUGAUCAUCUCAUUAGAUGCUGAAAAAGACCUUUGACAAAACCCAACACCCAUUCAUGAUGAAUGGAGAUAUCAGAGAUACGUGACCCAUACCUAAACAUGAUAAAGGCAAUUUACAGCAAGCCAAUAGCCAACAUCAAAUUAAAUGGAGAGAAACUCAAAGCAAUUCCACCUAAAUCAGGAAUAAGACAAGGUUCUUUCCAUAUCUGUUCAUUAUAGUAGUUGAAGUCCUAAUUAGUACAAUAAAACAACUAAAGGAAGUCAAAGAGAUUCAAAUAGAAAAGGAAGAAGUCGAAAUACCACUAUUUGCAGAUGAUAUGACAAUAUACAUAAGUAACCCCAAAAACUCUACCCAGGAACUCCUACAACUGAUAAACACCUUCAGCAAAAUAGCUGAGUACAAGAUUAAUAACCAAAUGAACAAACAAAAGUCCAGUAGCUCUCUUAUAUACAAAAGAGAAAGAAGACAAGAGAGAAAUCGGGGAAACAACACCAUUUACAUCAGGUCACAAGUAAUAUGAAUAUCUUGGUGUAACUGUAACCAAGCAAGUGAGAGACCUGUUUGAUUAAAAGCUUCAAGUCUUUGAAGAACUUGAAGACGGUAUCAGAAGGAUUUCCCAUACUCAUGGAUUGGUAGGAUCAAGUAACAAAAAUUGCCAUCUUACCAAAAGCAAUUUAUAGAUUCAACACAAUGGCCAUCAAAAUUAAAAAACAAUAGUUUAUUGACUUAGAAAUAAUAAUACUUGACUUCACAUGGAAAAACAAAAGACCCGGGAGAGCUAAAACACUUCUGUGCAAUAAAAGAACAUCCAGAGCUAUCAUCAUCCCAGACUUCAAACUGUAGUGUAGAGCAAUAGUGACAAAAAAGCAUAUAGUAUUGGCAUAAAAACAGACGUGUUGAUAAGUGGAAUCAAAUCCCCGAGGUAAGUCCACACACCUAUGGACAUCUGAUUUUAAUAAAGAAGCCAAAAAUAUAUAAAGGAGAAAAGAAAGUAUCUUCAACAAAUAGUGCUGGUGUAACUGGGUUUCAGUAUGUAGAAGAAUGCAAAUAGAUCCAUAUCUAUCACCCUGCACAGAACUUAAAUCCAAUUGGACCAAGAACCUCAACAUUAAAUCAGAAACACUAAGAAGAGAAAGUGGGAAAUAAUCUUGAACACAUUGGCACAGGAGACAACUUCGUGAACAGAACACUGAUAGAGCAGGCACUAAGAUCAACAGUUAAUAAAUAUGACAUUAUGAAACUGAAAAGCUUCUGUAAGGCAAAAGACACCCACCAUCAAUUAUAUAUUGUAAUAUAUAAUGUCCAAAUAUAUGUCUGUGGGAAGAGGCCUACUCUUGUCUGAGGAGAAGUGGAGCAGGAAAUGGCAGCCCAGAGAUUGGGAAAAGAUCUUCACCAACUGAACAUCUGACAAAGGGCUGACGUCCAAAUACAUGAAGAACUAGACAUCAGCAAUCUAAAUAAUUCAGUUAGAAAAUGGGAUGCAUAUCUAAACAGAGUCCUCAAUAAAGGAAUUUCAAAUGGCUGAGGAGCACAUAGAGAAAUGUUUGACAUUUUUAACCAUUAGAGAAAUGCAAAUCAGAAUGACUUGCAGAUUCCUUACACCUGUUAGAAUGGCUAAUCUACAAAACACCAGUGACGGCUUAUGAUGGUGAGGAUGUGGAGUAAGAGGACCACUCCUCCACUGCUGGCAGGAUUGAAAACUUGUCCAACCACUUUGGGAAUCAAUAUGGUGGCUUCUCAGAAACCUGGGAAUUAAUAUACCUCAAGAGUCAGCCAUACACCUCCUAGACAUAUACCCAAAGGACACUCCAUUCUACCACAAGGACACGUGCUCAACUAUGUUCACGUUCACAGUAGCUUAAUUCAUAAUAGCCAGAAACUGGAAGCAACCCAGAUGUCCCUCAACAAAAGAAUAGAUUUUAAAAACCAAACCAAGCAAACAAACAAAAAACCAAACAAAGUGGUAUUUUUGAACAACAAAGCAUUACUUAGCUGUUAAAACAAAACAAAACAAAUAAACAAAUAAAGACAAUGAAAUUUUCUGGCAAAUGGAUGGAACUAGAAAAGAUCAUCAUGAGUGAGGUAACUCAGACCCAUUAAAACAAACACGGUAUGUACUCACUUAUAUGUGGACAUUAGCAAUAAAAAAAGGGACAGAAUCCACAUACCCAGAGAGGCUAGAAACAGGAAGAGCUUGAUGAGGGGGAUGCAAAGAUCUCCCUGGGAAGGGGAAAUAGAAUAGAUUUCCUGGUGGACUGGGGGUGGGUAGGGACAGAAACAAGAGGGAUCAGGUCGGGUAUAUGGAGGGAGAGAAUACUGGGAGAGAAUACUGGAAUGGUGGGGGCAGCAUUUUGAGGGUAAGCUAGAAAUGUAAUGCAAUGAAAACUCUAUGGAAUCUAUGUGGGUGACACUAGUGAAGACUCCUAGUAAUGGGGGACAAGAAGGCUGAACAGGUCAUCUUCUGUAACCAGGCAAGUCCUCAAGUGAAGGGACUGAGAAGUGAAUCCAGCCACAAAACUUCAACCUACAGUUUAUCACGCCUGCAAGAUGUGUGGAACCAGAACCAGCUUAAUUGUCACCAGAAAGAUGUCACCCAGAAACCGAUGGAAGCGGAUGCAGACUCUUACAGCCAGAUAUUAGACGGGUGCUCUGGGAGUCCUGCAAAGGAAGGAGAGGAAGGCGAUUGGAGAAGCCAUAGGGGCCAAGGACACCAUGAGAACACGGCCCACAGAAUAAUGUCUCGUUUUCGCCCUUCCCCAUUGCUUUUAGAUAAUGUCAAAGAACAGCAACAGUUUAUGCAAGAAUUGACAAGAUAACAGAGGGGGGUUAGAGAAGAGCCCUCUAAGAAAGACCAGAUCCUGACAGGCAGAGGUUUCAGUGCUACCAAAAGGAGUACUAUGUAACCUUUUCAGACUAUGACCAUAAAGAAAAUACUGAAAACUAAAAUGGAGAUAAAUGCCGCUAUUAUGCACAAAAAUAGGACCGGGAGGAAAGGAGGCUGAGCCCCUCCGAGGUCACUACCCACGGACAUGAGGUAAUUGCUUCACUCUGGUCAUUAAUUUCUGUAGCUUAAGAGCUGACUAAGAACCAAGUAGGAGUGGGGUGUUCUUUAAAGUCCUUGGCUCACGCGCUCUUAUUUUAAUCAUACAAUUUAAAUUAUAGCAUUUAAAGCGAGUUACUGUUGUAUAAUUUGGGCAUAUUUAUAAUUUUGAUAUAUUUGUAUCCAUACAUAUAAAAUGCCUUGUGCCAUACAGACAAAACUGUUGUAACGUUGCCAGAAUGAUCCUUGGCAUUGCAGAAAACCAAGCAUAAAUUAUAAACCAGACGACGAAUAAAUUGCACCACACGUAAAUACACAAUGUCUACUGAUGAGGGAGAGGCUUGCAGAAGUGACAAGUUCUCACAAACCGGGAGAGUGCGCUUGCGCCAUGCGGAAGCAUCAAGGGAACUAGUCCGGAACGCGCGCCUGUCAGAAGACAGUAAGCAACAAACAGAUUCACAGGAGAGGACACAGUAGCAGCUCAGUUCUCCCCUCAGGCAGGAAAAAGCAAACUACAGGGAUACCAUGUCAUAAUCCUCACACUGGCGUGUCCAGUGCCAGCAGCCUGCAGAGCACAGUGUGCAGGCUUCAUUCCACAGACAUGGGCUUUGUGGAGCGCAAUCUGCGACGUUCAAGUCAGAGAUGUGUGCAGGUCAUCUCCGGAUGUUAUACCCCAGGAUCUACAGGGAAGGGCCUUUGUACCCUGCUAAACAUUUAACAAUAAUUAAAGAGAGGAAGAAGAAAA